UACAACAUAGUCAAAUCAUGUAAAAUGAGCACAGGAAAGUUUGUGAUUUGACAGACACAGAGGUUAUUGGUGUUCUUAGAAAUGUAGUGUUUGGAGUUGUAAGGGGGAGGAUAUGAUCAGAAUAGGUAGGUGGCUGUUUCAAGAAUUUUGGACAUGAAUGAGAGAAGAGAAAGUAGAGAUCUUGAAGGAGAUGUGGAUUUGGCUGUUUUAUCUUAAAAUGAGAGUCACUAUAGAAUAUUUGUAUGUUGUUGUAAUAGUCUAUUAGAGAAGAAUGCCAAAGAUUCAGGAGAAAGAAGCCUUUGAGAAAACAUAAGGUAGAAGGAAGGGAAUGGGCUCUAGAACACAGAUAGUUACAUGAAUUUUUCAUAGGAAGAGAGAUAUCUUCACUGUUUAUAAUGAAUAAGAUGAUAGAAACAAUAGAUUCAGAGCCAUGUAGAUUUAGACUUUGGAUAAAAUAUGAAGGAGUUUCAAAUGUCUUUUAUUUUCUCAAUGAAAUGUGUUGCAAGGUUUCACUGGAAUUUAUACAAGGGCAUUCAGUUACUAAAGUAAUGGAAAAACAUAAUUAUGAGAAAGUUUGCCCAGGUUCCAUCUUUGCAUGCAUUCCAAGUCUAUAACACUCAAAGAAGUGAAAACUCCAAGGUUUUUGUUUCAUUUUUGUCUUGUAUUUAACCUCUUUGCUCUGAUAUUGAUAUUUUAUCUGAACUCAACACUUAACAACUUGUCGAAACAAAACAAAACAUCAUGUCUUUCUUUGCUACCCAAAUGUGGAUAUUCAACAUUAGAAUAAAAGAUAAUUUUGUGUUGUUCCUUAUAAAUAAAAUGUAUAUUCUUUAUAAAUACAAAUGUAUAUGAUUUUUGGCCAUCAUAACUUAAUGUACAUAUAUACCUAUGUAACUGUAUGUAAAUGUAUAUAUGAUUUUUGACCUUAAUAACUUCAUACAUAUGCAUAUAAAAUAUACAUAUAUACAUACAUUCAUAUUCAUAUAUAUAUACACAUAUAUACAUACAUUUAUGUACAUAUAUAUGAAGUUAAGGGCAAAAAUCAUAUACAUUAAUAUACAGUUACAUAUGUAUAUUAUAUGUAUUCUCAUGAAAUGACAUAUUAUACAAUUAUAUAUCAUAUAUAUAUUCUUAUAGAAGAUAAUCAGUAGCAUAAACUAAGGAAAGAAGCAAUCCAUUUAUAAAUCCAUAUAUAAAUCUCUGAUCUAUAAUUCACAUACUUCUACAAAAGAAGUCUGAAUAAUUAUAUUUUGUAGUCUAUGUAGAAAAACUAAAAUAGGAGCAUAUGUGAAUGUCUCGUAAUAAAUUUUACUUUUUAAACACAUACAUCUGCACAAUAGGUACCUUUAAGAAACUUGUAAAAUAGCAAACUAAGGAAUAGUAUCUAUUUUUCUUGCAGUCAUGCAGAAAUUGCAAUUGCUUUUAUUUUGCAGAUGGAUAAUCCUAAGCAAGAAGAGAAAUCAGUGUUUUUUUUUUCAUAUUUGGUUUGCAGAGUUACUUUACUCUAAAUACCUUACAAGAUCUAUCUGAAAAUUAUCAUUUAAAUUGGCUCCUGAAUUUCAGCAUCUGAACGUAAUUCUCCUAUUUUCUUAUGGUCAGUGACAGCAACAAUAACAGCAACAACAACAGAACUCCAAAUUAACAAAAAUUAAAAUUCGAGACAAUAACAAACUAUCAAUAACCUGAAACUAUACCUUGAAAACAUCAUUUCUAUUAUCUGGAAUUAAACAAUGAAAACAUGAUAAUAAAGAUGGUCCUAUGGAUAAAAACAAAGGACAGAACCUGUUUUUCACUUCAUGACAUCCCACCAAUGCGUCUUCAUUUACUUUCUCUAUCAAAAAGGUCAACGAGGUCACAGAUUCCCAACAGGCAUCGCGUUUGCAGAUUAUGCGAAACUUGGAGGGGUAGUACUCUGUUAGAAGGCUAUCUUGUAACCUGGACAAAAGUAAGUGUAAAAAAAAAGUUCAGUGCAGCUACCUGCACAAGUAUGGUUGGAGGAUUAUGUGGCUUAUCAGCACAUGUCAGAAAGAUGUUGGGAUUUUAGUUUCAGGAAGUCUCAAUAUUAGUCAAUAGUGUGAUGUGACUGCCAAAGUGCAAAUGUAAUUUUAAGCUACUUUAGUCAGCACACAGCUUCCAAAGUAAGGGAGAUAAAAACCUCCCUCUAUGCUGUAUCUAACUACAAAGCAUUGUUACAUUAAAUUGUGGGUGCUACAAUUCAGUGAUAAUAUUAGGGUGAAUCAAAACCAAGCCUUUAGAGUAGCCCCUGUGAAAAUAUAGAAAAUUCAGUCUGGAGAUAAACCAACUUGGAAGCUAGGGUUUCAAAUGCCUCAUAUAUUGGAAUAAAAUGCCAGCCCAAAUUAAAAAUAAUUCCUGGGUAUGUUUUGGUGGGGGUAGUGGGGAAGAAGCUGGGGGAGUGGGGAAGUGGGUGGAGUGCAAAACAGCAACAAUGGCCUGUCGGAAUAUACAAACACUUAGAGAUACAACACAUAGUCAAAUUUCUACUUUGUUUGUUUGUUUUUGAGAUGGAUUCUCACUCUGCUGCCCAGCCUGGAGUGCAGUGGUGCCAUCUCAGCUCACUGCAACCUCCACCUCCUGGGUUCAAGUGAUCUCAUACCUCAGCCUGUCGAGUAGUUGGGACUACAGCUGUGUGCCACCACGGUUGGCUAAUUUUUGUAUUUUUGGUAGGGAGGGGGUUUCACCAUGUUGCCAGGCUGGUCUCAAACUUCCUGACCUCAGGUGAUCAGCCUGCCUCGGCCUCCCAAAUUGCUGAGAUUACAGGCAUGAACCACCGCAUCUGGCCAGAUUUCUACUUGUAAUACUGAAAUCACAGCUAUGGCUUUUUGACUAUCACAUAACCUCACCUUUUUAAAAAUACUUAAUUUAAGCCUCAUUAUUGUCGGCAGCUCGGUCAUUACUAAGGUCACCUUGGGGGCUAUUUAACACAUCAUCUCCAUUUACAGGUUAUUUGAGAAACAGUAUUUUUUGAACUUGAUGUUAUUCCUAGGAACCUUUGUUUCAAGCCACAAUUAACCAUCUAUUCGUUCCUUUUUUUAGUCAGCAGAUGACUUUUGAGCCCCUCCUAGCUGUCAGGCACUGUUGUAGGUACAGGUAAUAGGGUUGACUCAGUGAGAAGAGUAACAAAGCUCAGCCCUGUGUUUUUUGUUUGUUUUUAUUUUUUUGAGAUGGAGUUUCUGGGGUGCAAUGGCGCAAUCUCAGCUCACUGCAACCUCCACCUCCUGGGUUCAAGCAAUUCUCCUGCCUCAGCCUUCUGAGUAGCCGGGAUUACAGGCACUGGCCACCACAUCUAGCUAUUUUUUUUUAUUUUAUUUUUAUUUUUAGUAGAAAUGGGGUUUCACCAUGUUGGCCAGGCUGGUGUCAAACUCCUGACCUGAAGUGAGCCACCGCACCGGACCAACAGCCCUAUGUUCUUAUAUUUGCAUAACAAGAGUACAAUUCAUUUUUAGUUCAUCCCUUAUGUAUCUAUUUGUCAUUUCCAUAACAAAUGCAAUUUCUACCUUGAAUUUUUAAAGUGAUCUUUAAAAUGUAUCUUUUCUAAGUUAUAGAAUACUUGCAAAUGUUAGUUCAUCCCUCUUGACCAGUUAUUAAAGUGUGUUAAAAGUACUUUGUCAUCUCUUUUUAAAUAGUUGACCUCUUUACGCAUCCAAAAUAAGAAUUGAUUCAUGUUUGCAAAGGCUGAUGUGUCUUUCUCAAAGAGGUCUCAUAACAUAAAAGAAUCCUUAAAAGUCCCAACAAUGUGACCGCUUUUGUUCUGAGGCAUAGUUUUCAGAAAAAAAUGUCACCUUACAUUUAAGCAUUAUAUGUGCUUGAUAACCUUUAAAAAGUGGAAUGAUGACUCUUCCUGGCUCCAGAGGAUCAUUUUUUGGGGACAGGUCUCAGAUGAUUUUAUUUUCAUAGUUAUAAUUCUUCCUUUAUGUUCUCAUAAUUUUAAUGCUCUAAUAAAUAAGCUGAUUAGGAGAGUAAGUUUACUGUCACUGAAAACCCUAACAUAGAGCUGGAUGACCAACAUUUGAUUGAUUGAUAUUGAUUGAAAAACUCUAUUAGAGAAUCUUUAAUUCUCUCAGAAUUCUGAUUUUUCACAUGAUUUUAACCUGGCAAGAGGUUUUAAGUUAUCAGAUGGUGAAUAGUCAAUAACAUGCUCUUGAGCAAGGGUAGGUGGUGAUCAGAGUUGUGAUUUAAAAUGUUCUAUCUCAGUGGCUCACGCCUGUAAUCCCAGUAAUUUGGGAGGCCAAGGUGGGCAGAGCAUGAGGUCAGGAGAUCGAGACCAUCCUGGCUAACGUGGUGAAACCCUGCCUCUACUAAAAAUACAAAAAAUUAGCCGGGCGUGGAGGCAGGCACCUGUAGUCCCAGCUACUCAGGAGGCUGAGGCAGGAGAAUGGCGUGAACCUGGGAGGCAGAGUUUUCAGUGAGCUGAGAUCACGCCACUGCACUCCAGCCUGGGUGACAGAGCGAGACUCCGUCUCAAAAAAAAAAAAAAAAAAAAAUGUUCUAUCUCAGGAAGAGCAAGUUUAGGACGAGGGCCCCUAUUCUUGGUCUGUGAGAGGGAGGUCAUGCUGUUUUGGUAUUGCACUUUGUGCCCAGAGCAUAGUUGGGUCCAUGGACUGAGACCUGCAGUAGUGUACAUCUCAGAGAUUUAGUUCAAGAUGCUAUGGAAGGAACCCAAGUAUCCUUUGCUGAUAGACCCAGCACCCUUGGUAAGUCUGGUCAUUCAAGGUAGUGUUUUCCUUCCAAUAACCCAGAAACAGCUCUUUCUGUGAGCUUCAGCUUAUCCAAUAUUUAGGGUAAAAAAUUGUGGGAGUCCAUGCAGUAAGUGCAGAGCCCUGGGCCCAGGUUAAAGCUGAAAUCACUAGGAGAGUGGUUUUGUGCCAAGGACUUAAUCUCUCUGAUUACCAGUUUUAUGGAUAAAGUGAAGAAAAUAGUUUUUUUCUUGCAGGAUUGUUGUGAGAUUAUAUAAGUACAAUAUGUACAUAUAUAACUAUAUAUUUAUAUAUAUGGUACACACACAUACACAUAUAAAGGGAGAGUGUUAUAAGUAUCAUAGGAUCAUAAGACAUGGGCUAGGAGCAGUUGGGGAACAUUAAGAAAAGUAGAUAAUUGUGUUAUUUCAAGGUGGCAACAGCUCCUGAUACUUGGUACAUGUUAUUGCCCAGCCCCACUGUUUUAGAUGGAUGGCCCUGCCUAAUCAGAGGCUUCUUCAUUUGGUAUUUUGCCCUGGAUAAAUUUAGCUACCUAGUGUGAAGCAUCCUGGCUGUCACAUGUCCCCGAAAUUUUAGUAGUUUUCCUGAACUGCAAAACUACUAUAUACCAAUUAGAAGCAAAGCAGAGGGGCGAAGUAAAGAUGACUAUUAUGUCUUUCAGUAUCUCUGCAGGAAAGAGAGUGUGUUCUUCUUGGUCUUCUGUGAUGGCCCCUAUUUAAUGUAAGCUCACCCAGUAGAAUUCUGAACCUGAGGAGAAAAUACAUACACUAGAUAUACUAGGUACAAUUACUGUGAAGAAAGCUAUUUCACACAUAUACCACAUGCUGGGUUUGUUGGUGAAGGGAAUGAAGUGGUAAAUGAGGAUCCACAAAGACUUAACAUAAAACCACCCACCAUUAUUAAUGGGUGCAGGGGUAGGACAGACUUGUGAUGAGGAAAGGGCAGGAAAACAGGAGAGAAGGGACAACAUUGAUACAGUUAUCAAUUACUUGAAUAAGAUAUUGUAACAAUAAGACUGUACACUAGAAUUCUGGCCUUUUUUUGUAGGAAGUUUAUGUGUACAUGCAUACAAAGCAAAUAUUUCAAUGACUAACCUUGUAGUUAAGAGGAGUGGAGUGCUUAUCAAUUAUUCAGCAAAUAUAUUUUGAACAUGUACUGUGUUUCAGGUGUUAUAGGCACUGGGGAUGUGGGGAUGAACAAAUCCGGCUAGAUAACUGACUCCAGAUAAAUAUUUACAGUACUCUGGCAUGUAGCUUCAAUGCUAGCAUUUUUAGGUGGAAAUGUUAAAAACUAUAGUGUCACAUAUGAAUGAUUAUUUUUUACAUGUGGAACGUUAUAUGGACUACUGCCUCUAACAUGUGUUUAUAUAUGUAUGUUUGUGAAUACAUGUUCUGGCUUUUUUUUUUCUCGAAAAUCAUAUAUCUAGUAAUCUGUAUUGGUGCUUCUUGUUUUUUUUUUUGACUAUAGAAAUAUUUUAGUUCAUAUGCUUUAAUUACAUUAGGUAAUAAUACUACAAUCCAUUUUGCAAGUUAAAUGUAUGAUAAUGUAUGAAAUAGAAAUGAUGGGAAAAAAACUAAAUAUGGGUUAAGAACACAAAUUUUUCUGAAACCAAGAGACAAAGGAAGAUGUGUAGCCUCCAGGGCCCACACAAGAGAUAGGAGGCAGGGAGGGUCAGGUACAGUAUGGGUCCCGGUAUGUUUAUUCCUUCCUUGUUUAUACUGAGAACCUAAGUUCUGUGCCCCUGCUGUCUGGGUGUAAGAGUUUAGGCUGGUCAAUAGAAGAUAGUGGCUUGGGAAAAAGAGCCAUCUGGUUACCUACACAGAGCUGGUGCCCUGGUGGCCACAGGUGGGUUCUGCCAUUGAGAGAGUUAGAGGCAAUGAUAGCAUUGAGGAAUGGGUAGCCAAGAUGUAAUGGAGGUUAUAGCACGUAACUGAUACCUCUUAAAUCAGUGACCUUGCAUUUAAUACUUUGCAAUUGUCUGGCUGCGUGCUACUCUUUACACUCUAGGGUAAACUAUUUCACUGUUUUGAUGAGGAAUUUAUUUUGGAUGAGAGGAAUCCGAAAAAAAAGAAUAUAAAAAUAAGAAACACUCAUAUCUAGAGCACCGAUGAUAUGCCAGGUACGUUCAUGUAUUUGAAAUAAAUCGUUAACUUACACCAAUUUUUAAGACAUGUCUGUGAAGCAGUCAUAUAGCACUGUAGUGGGGAAUGUCAGCUUGAAUAAUUAGAACAGUGGUAGCUAUAGAUGCAGGAGGUUGAACAUCACUCAAUAAAUACAGGGAAACAGACUUGUAUCAAUUACUACCAAAGGUGCCUUCCACAAUGCAUUGUGCUUUUGCUGGAGAAGCGUAUGUACCCGACAGUGUGCUGUCAGCAUUCUGCUAUUUCAUGAAGGGGAAACUAGACUGUACAAAACCAUAUAAGAUGUUCAUAUGAGGAAUGUAAGUAUAGAAGAUACAACAAAAUUCAGAGAAAUGACUUGUACAGUUACCAGGCCUUUGGGAAAGCCAGCUUGCUUACCUUAGCACAGAUGCUCACCCCUACUUUAGUUAAAAUGAUCUCUAGUAACAGACGAAAGAAAUAAUUACAACACACCCCAUGUUUAUUUUAUAGGAAGGGGAUUAACAUACAAAUUCACCUUCUCCUUUGAAAUUUUCUUGUAACAGCUAGAUCCCUGCAGGCACUUAGAAGAUAGAAACUGUAUCUACAUACAAAAAGGAAUGAGGAAAUUAGGUUGUUAUCAAGAAAGGAACAUGUAACCUCCAAACUACCCUCUGUUCAAACAAAUGCUCUAAAAAUUUCAGUAAGGAAAAUCUAGAUAGCACCUUCAAAUCUGUCUCUUUUUGUCGGGAGACCUAGCUUUGGUGUUUUGACAUUUGCAUCACGAUGGAUAGUGACUCUGUUAGAAGUGAUGGGCCCUGGGAGAACAUUUUGCUCAGACACUCGCAUCUUUGCUCUCUUCUCUCCAGUUCACUCCCCCAGCAUUUAAAAUAAUCAUUCAGCCUAUGAGAAUAGGUUCUUUGAUGACAAUUUCAUUUGUGACUGCUGCUUAUUUCUCAUUUGAAGUUAUGAGCUCAAUUAUGUCUGCAUUCACUCUUUCUGAUAUGAAAAACAAACAGAAAACAAGCAAGCAAACAAAUAAACAAACAAAAUAAACCCUUGUGGAUCAGAAAAAUACGUUAAAUUUUCCGGAUUUUCCAGAGACACCUUUCAAUCCAGGCAGCUCUUGUAGACUUUCAUUCACUGAAUGCUUGGAUGUGUCUCUAUGUAUCUUCACCUCAUUUAUAUAACUAUUUACAUCAUUACAAGAAAAUGGUAUAUAUUUCUUGGGCACUGAAAAGUGAAAAAAAAGAGAGGAAUAAAUGAGUACUUAAACCCAAACCUUUCAUCAUUAUGAAGCAAUUGUUAAUGAUCUGUUUGUACGCGGCACUGGCACUGUGUUAGAGGCUUUGCCGAGUGAGUGAGGUGCCCAUUGCACCACAUACUUUAGCUUUCCAGAUAAGCAAGGAUGAGGGUAGGAUGGGAGACAUUUCAUCCAGUAAACAUUGAGAAAAAUAAAUUAAAUGAUAAAAUUCAAUUUUUUUUUUUUUUUUUUUUGGCUUACAAGCCAAGGGUUAAGUGUAUCUGAUAGAAAAUUCACAUUCAACCAGCUGUCCUUAGUAAUGAGUAAAAAUAAAUACACAAUGGGAAAACCUGUCCUAUGCCAUAUGACAGAUGGAUAGAUAGAUAGCUUGUGGAGGCAGAGCUGUUUUUGGUUAAGUAGACAAUUUUAAGCUCCUCACAUGGUUUUAAUUGUUUCAAAGGUUCACAUGAUCACCUAUUUGUUUAGUCGAGGUCCUGGCAGUGCUGAGUUGAUAUUUUCCAGAAAAAUAUUUUCUGUGUGUAGAUACCUAUGGUCACCUGUUUUAUUUUUCUUUAAAUUCUGGCACUUUUGAUUAUUAAACAUUCAGAAGACAAUCUCUUACUUACCAAAUAUAUGCAAUGGCCUAAUACACAAAGAGAAAACGUUAUUUUCCCAGAACAAAAGCUAACAUCUUAACUAGGAAUGUUAAAACUAAAAAAAUAAAAAGUCAUACACAUAUAUCCUUUAUGAAGAACCUUCCAUGUUUCCCAAUCCUUGAUAUUUACAUAAAUUAUCUCAACUGUUUAAAAGAUUCUUGCAUGGCAUAGCAUAACAAUAGUGAUUUUGUAGAUGAGGAAAUUAGCAUUUCUGAAGAUUGAAUAAACUUCACAUCUGUAAAUCUCACAGCUAUUAAGUGGCAGAAUCUGGAUUCAAAUGUUCUUCUAUCUGAUUUUGCUCAGUUGCUGUAGGAUGUCACAGGUACAGGAAGCAGAACCACUAAGUUCUGAGGAAUUUGGUGGAUUAAAUUGGAGCAUAUACAACCAUUCUUAAACUGUAGCUGAAUCUGAUUUUGCUUUAAUACAGUUAUUCUUUUUUAUUGCUAUAUAUCACUUAAUUUAAUAUUUAUAUAAAUCAUUUGAUAAUCCGUAUUAUUUUUCAUUUAAUGUGAUAAUCUUGUUUCCUGAGAUUAUUAAUCUUCUGGUCAUCAUCUAAAAGUAAACAAAGUGAAUAUCGGACCUAGAAGACAGGGUCUUCUAAUCACUAGAUUUUUCCACUAAAUUAAAAUUAUUGUAAGUUGCUUGAAUAGCAGUUUAAUUUUGACCUUAAAAGCCUUUCUAUGUCUGUUUUGUUUCUUUUAUAUAUUUACCCCAUUUACUCAGAACCGGCAUGAGGCAGAUUGUAAAAUAUAGAAGUUCCUAUUUCAGGGUCUUCUCUCUCCUGCCAGUAUUCUUUCGCCUUUAACUUGUUUCUUUACUCAUUUUUCCAAAGUUCUAUUCUAUUUCUUGUUCCAUUCCAACUAGUCGACGGAGAUGAUCCUUGAUAAAAGAUUAAGGUUGUGCAUCUCCCAAGAGUAUUUACAUUUUAAUGGGGGUCUCCUGCCGAUCAAAAAAGCCUCCAAGAUGCAGAGGAAUGAAUUCUAAAGGUACAGGCAUGAGAGAUAUUUUUAGUUAGGAGCAUCUGGCUUGCCCCUCUAAUCACAUCCCAUAAGCUGCCUACUCCCAGGUCUUACUCCAAGGUAAGACCUUGGCUUUGCUGUUUACAGUGAGAAGAUUCCUGUAAUUGCACAGGCUUUUUCGAAGGUUUGAAUCCUGUCUUAGAGAUGGUGUGAUAUUGGUACUUCCAUGUUUAUUUUCUCUCCUAGUUCCACAUUUUUGAUGACUGGAACAAAUUCCAAAAGGCUUUUUAAUGAUGAUGUAAGGCCUUGAACAAAAUGAAAAUCUGUUGUUUUAGCAUAUUUGGAAGAGAAUAAUUCAGCUGUCACAGGAUGAAAGAGUUAUCUGGAAAUACCAUCUUUUCUUUGCCGUGCUAUAAUGCACACCUAAAAGGGAAAUACCAUUUUGGAUAAAGGCUAGAAUCCUCUCAGAUAUAAAGAAAAGAAUGCAUAAUAAAGCACCCAGAAAGCUUUUGUCACUUCACCUGCAGAACUCUCUCUUUAAAGCAUAUUUAGCCAAGCUCAUACGCCUACUUGUUUUAUCAAAUGAAAGAACUGAAAAGAUUAAGAGAAGUUUUUUUUUCCUUUUAAGCACUGAUGUAGCAUGUAUCCUAGAUUAAAUCGUGUGCUCUCACGUAGUAAUUUUCUAUGCAAAAAUAUACACCCUACUGCGUAGUUUCAAACCUAAAAUGCUGAAUAAUUUCUCCAAAGGCUCAGUAAUUAAAUGUGAUGAUAAUGCAUUAAAAAUGGAAAACAAUUUAAGGAGGCUUUCAAAUAUAUUCUUGUAAUGAAGAAAGUUACAGAAAUAUCCUGAAAAACUUGGUCUUUAUUUAGUCAGUCAAUUAAUAUCCUAGUAUUAGACUGCUGAGUUCAAGAUUCCUUCUUGACAAAAUGUUAACAUUUGCCACUCAUUCUGUUUUUUUAUAUGGAAUUCUCUAGGCAUUUGCCUGUUUCCUGUUUUACAUCAUUCAUUGUUCCCUACAUUCUGAGAAUACUUUUGUGUCAUGGAGUUUACAAUUAAAGAUAAGCUUUUCAGUGCCAUACUUAUUUUUUUUUUCUGUAUCACUAUACAUACUCAAGAAUGAAGUAAAAAAAAUAAGCAUAAUAAUCUGGACCCUAAAUACAAACUCUGCUUUCCAACUAACUUCCCAAGAGUAAGCAUGACUAAUUUUGAGAAGUGAAAAAGGAAGACAAAACUACAAUAGCUCAUUUAGCAAACUGAAGUUUUUAAGAAGUCCCUAACCUUUAUUUUGGUUGACUGGUUAAUCAUUAAUCACAAGUAUCUAUUAAAUUCCUACUCUAUUCUAGAAACUAUACUGGCAUGAACUGCAUCUGUUUCUGAAGUCCAAAUAAAUAUUAACAUUUAUACAGUUUGAAGUCUGUGAAUAACCUGCUACUGUUUCCAAAUGAACAUGAUGAACAGACCAUUUAUCCACAGUCCUAAUUUGUGUCAAUAUCAACACUAUACUCUGAGGCAUACAACUUCAAUUUAUGAAAGUAUCUUUGAAAACUGCAUUAGCCCCCACACACCCACAUAAGUUGACAAUGUCUUGUCGGUUUUACUUCCAUAACAUCUCUCACAUCAUUCCCCCAUGCCAUUUAAAAAAUUCUUUCUACCACAUUCUAUUUUCCUCUAGGUUAGAUAGUUCCAGUAACUACCUGAUAUUUCUCCCUUCAUCCAGUGCUUCCUCUUCAGUUCAUCCAACUCACUGAAGACAGAUUCACCUUGCUCAAAGAGACCUGACUGCUUCCCAAAUAAAGCAUAAACUUAUUAGCCUGCCCAUACGUGAUCAUGUACAAUGUCACCCCCAACUUACCUUUAUCUUGUCCUGAUUGUUUCCCUUAACAUAUCCAAGUUAUUAGCAGAAAUAAAUGAUUUAUUAUUUCCUACAAAAAUGAUCUCAUACUUUUCCAACUAUGGACAGGACAGGUGCUUAUGCUGAUUCAAUGCCUUUGGUCUAGUCCUCUAAUCUCCAUUCACAUCUGUCUCUAUGAAGACUUUUCUACCCACACCCCCAUCUUCCACUAACAACCAGUAAAAUAAGUUGUAGCAAGAUGUCAUUCUUUGAAUUCUUCAGGCUUUACCUUUACUUUUCCAGACAAUAGUUUUCUGACUUGUAUUGCAGUAAUCCGUGUAUUUGUCAUAACACUCAUAAUAAGGGAUAUUUUUGGAAAGAGAACAUGAUUAUCUAUUUUUAUAGAAAAGUUUAUUUUUUACAGUAAAAUUUACACUACAAUCUUACUGUAUCUGACAUUUGGCUUCAACUGUAAAAGAGGGGUAAUAAUUUGUUAUUAUAUGGCUAUUUUUAGUUAGGUAAUACUAUGUAAAAUUGCUUUAGCACAAGUGUGUUUAUUUUACCUCUCAUUCCGAGGUGUCAGAGAUAGAAAUGUACAGAAUGAAAAAUUUCAAAGAAUUGUCUGACCUUGUGUAUUCCAGCCAUUGCAACCUGUCCUGCUGUCAUGCCAACCAGCUACACCUCAAAGAGAUGCUCAUUGGCAGGACAAACUUGUAAUUGAACACACGUGAAUCUUAUGCACUAAAGUCAAUCUAGGUUAAUUGCAUGGUUAACAUUUUUUAUCCUUGUGCUAAAAUGGGACUUCUAAAGUAAGUUUCUCUGUGUUUUAAAGUUAAGGAGCCUAUUUGUGUUAAGGAAGACAGAUUCAUAACACAAACAUAGUACAUUUAUUCAACAUAAAUUUUGUAUAAGGCAUAUGUACAUUCAUUUUGCAGAAGAAAGUCAUAUUUUUUGGGCUAUUCUUGAAAAAAUUAUAUUAACUAUAUAUUACACCUUUUGGGACUAAAAUUCUAUUAGAAUUUUUUUUGUUUCUAAAAUAUAUACAAUUUGUGAUAUGGUCAGAAAUAGGUGAAAAGACAGUUUUACCAAAAAAUCCAUAAAGCCUUUUGGGCUUUGAGAAGCCCAACAGUCUUGGGUUCUCAAGUUUUCAAAAGCUGUUAUAAUUUAGUAUUACAUAUUAAUGGCCCUUGUCAUGUUUUCCUAAUUUGCCAUGAUUAGUACCAAAUAUUUAGUACCAUAGUAUGUACCAUUUUUGUAUAUACUAUAAAAAUCUUUUUAAAAAAUGAGAGAUGGGAUCUCGCUGUGUUGCCCAUGCUGGUCUUGUACUCUUGGCCUCAAGCAAGCUUCCUGCCUUGGCCUUGCAAAGUGUUGGGAUUACAAGCAUA